rnacentral:misc_RNA from 1 species
AUGCUCUUCUCACAAUUUUAAGCAAGCAUUAAUUCCUUGCGUUAAAUUAGGGAUCUGCAGUAAUUCUUCUGUGCUUAGAUAACUAUAAGAUGUAAACUUACCUCCUAAUAACAUCAGCAUUGACAUUGUUUGGUGUUAUGUUUUAAAUAUAUGUACAUUUAUGGUGGUCUUUACAGCCCUUGGUUGAUUUUUCUAUGUAUUCUGAUACAGAGAGGCCUUUCAUUAAAAAAAAAAUGUGUUUUCGAUCAAAGUUAUCGACUAGACUGCUGAGCCUGACUUUGAAAGACUGGUAGAUUGUGUUUUAUAAGAUCAUAUCAUUAUGAGUUUCUUCUAUGCAUGUUUGCCAAACAGGUUUAUUGCUCAUCCCAAUCCCUACAGGUAUUUUUUUUUAAACUUUUGUUACAAAAAAUUGUAUUCACUGUUGAAGUGAAUAAAAACAAAGCACUUUCAGUACAACAAUAGGUUAGUGGUUAGGUCCUGAUGUGUUUUAUAAAUAGUUUGAACACAGUGGUUCAGUUUAUCUUUUUAGAAUCAACAAUAUGGAGGCAAAAAUGUACAGUUAGAUAUCUAGUUGUGGUUUAAGCUGUUUUAUUAUGUUCCAGUUGUCCAUAUUAGUGCUAGUGUUCACACACUUGUAUUGAUUUUCCAAAGUUUAAUUAUUUGUUAUUUUAAUUGUUGAAAGGCGAAAAAAAGUUAGUAAUUUAAAAUCAAAAAUAUUUUUCCAAGUUAAGUAUCUGAAUUGUGUUCAUUUGAUUCAAGAUGUAGAAUAACACCGUGAUCAUAUUCAUGUUAGGAAAAAUCAUCUAUUUGUUUUGUGAUGAAUGUCGGUUAAAAUUUUCAAUAAAGGGAAGAAUCAAAUAAAAUUUUU